UAUAAAAAGAAACGAAGUGAAUUGAAGUAUCUUAGUAGCUUCAGGAAAAUAAAUCAAACGAGAUUCUAUUAGUAGUGUGAAUGAAAAUAGAUAAAGGCU
rnacentral:rRNA from 2 species